CCCGUACUACGCUGGCAGUAGCACUACGAACCUUUUCCUUCAGCAAUUUAUCAGGGUGCUAAAGUUAUACAUAGCUUUUGGUGAACCUUCAUGUAUGGAUAUAAUUAACUAAGCAGCUUAGAUAGUAUAGGAUAUAAUAUUAUUCUUAUUUUUAAUGAGAGGAUAAAUACACUGCCUGUCAAAAUUUUACCGCAAUUAAAACGAUGGCUGUUGGAGUGACAUCAGAGUCGCUCC
rnacentral:lncRNA from 1 species